rnacentral:rRNA from 1 species
UACGUAGGGAGCAAGCGUUGUCCGGAAUCAUUGGGCGUAAAGCGCGCGUAGGUGGCCAUGUAAGUCCGCUGUGAAAGUCAAAGGCUCAACCUUUGAAAGCCGGUGGAUACUGCAUGGCUAGAGUACGGAAGAGGCGAGUGGAAUUCCUGGUGUAGCGGUGGAAUGCGCAGAUAUCAGGAAGAACACCCGUGGCGAAGGCGGCUCUCUGGGACGGUACUGACGCUGAGACGCGAAAGCGUGGGGAGCGAACAGG